GUGCCUUCGGGAACCGUGAGACAGGUGCUGCAUGGCUGUCGUCAGCUCGUGUUGUGAAAUGUUGGGUUAAGUCCCGCAACGAGCGCAACCCUUAUCCUUUGUUGCCAGCGGUCCGGCCGGGAACUCAAAGGAGACUGCCAGUGAUAAACUGGAGGAAGGUGGGGAUGACGUCAAGUCAUCAUGGCCCUUACGACCAGGGCUACACACGUGCUACAAUGGCGCAUACAAAGAGAAGCGACCUCGCGAGAGCAAGCGGACCUCAUAAAGUGCGUCGUAGUCCGGAUUGGAGUCUGCAACUCGACUCCAUGAAGUCGGAAUCGCUAGUAAUCGUGGAUCAGAAUGCCACGGUGAAUACGUUCCCGGGCCUUGUACACACCGCCCGUCACACCAUGGGAGUGGGUUGCAAAAGAAGUAGGUAGCUUAACCUUCGGGAGGGCGCUUACCACUUUGUGAUUCAUGACUGGGGUGAAGUCGUAACAAGGUAACCGUAGGGGAACCUGCGGUUGGA
rnacentral:rRNA from 2 species